CUUGGCAAAUGGUGUUUUUAUACUGUAUAUAGGUCAGAUGUCCAUGACAACUACAUAGGGUAGGUCUUGAAAAAUAAUGGAUAAUUUCAGUGUUUUUUUGUUUACAGAAAUGGUCAUCAUCAUUUAUCUUUUCCAACAUUAUUGCUGGAUUACAAAAUUUGUUAAAAAAAAAAGAAGACAAUGAGAAAUUGUAUUGGCAGUUUUGUACCUGUGAUACAAUGAUGUCCAUCCAUUUUGUUUUGGAAAAAGCAGAUGCUGAUUAGCCUGAGUACUUCAAAUGCUGUCAUUGUCAUGUGAGGAAACUAUUAAACUAUUCCAAUAUGAUAUGUGUAAAAGAAUGCUUUGUAUGGGAAACAGAGACUGAUUUUCCAAGCUGGACACAAAUUAUAAUACAGAAUGGAAGAAAGCAAACAGAACCAAGAAAUACAAGUUCAUGUAUGAAUUGCCCCUCUAUGAAAAUCCAAAGAUGCAGGAAAAGAAAACCAUGAACAAGCUUCAAAAGAUAAAGAUGAUAAUGAUGAAUCAGAAUAGCUGAUAAUUAUCUUAUUUUUUUCAUGCCGGAAGAAGCGUUUUUUUUUUUUUUUUUUUUGCACAUGAGGAAGCUGGUGAAUUAUGUGCUGCUACAGAAGAGGAUAUAGUAAAUAUACUGAAGAGGAAACAUCCAAGCUAGUAGAUCUUUGUUGACUACACUUCUGAAAAUUUUAUAUGUUUACAGUUUCUGUAUCAUUUUAUUUUUAAGUUAAAUGGAUCAAAGUCUCUAUUGGAGGGGUUGCAAUAUUUGUGUCUAAUCAAUGUAGAAUGUUUACAAUAUAAUUGGAAAUACAUAAAGUAGAGUUGUUUUUUUUUGUAUUUGAGAAUAAUCAUAAGUAUUAUUUUUCUGCAGAUUUUAAUUAAUGCUAUGUAUAGCAGAAAUUAAAUAAAGCAAUUUCAAUAGAGAUAUAAGCACACAUGAGAGAAAUAUGUAGACAACAGUUAUUAUGAAACGACUAAUUACC